CCUACGGGAGGCAGCAGUGGGGAAUAUUGGGCAAUGGGCGCAAGCCUGACCCAGCAAUGCCGCGUGAAGGAAGAAGGCUUUCGGGUUGUAAACUUCUUUGACAGGGGAAGAGCAGAAGACGGUACCCUGAAAACAAGCCACGGCUAACUACGUGCCAGCAGCAGCGGUAAUACGUAGGUGGCAAGCGUUGUCCGGAUUUACUGGGUGUAAAGGGCGUGUAGCCGGGAAGGCAAGUCAGAUGUGAAAUCUGGAGGCUCAACCUCCAAAUUGCAUUUGAAACUGUGUUUAUUGAGUACUGGAGAGGCAGACGGAAUUCCUUGUGUAGCGGUGAAAUGCGUAGAUAUAAGGAGGAACACCAGUGGCGAAGGCGGUCUGCUGGACAGCAACUGACGGUGAGGCGCGAAAGCGUGGGGAGCAAACAGGAUUAGAUACCCUAGUAGUC
rnacentral:rRNA from 1 species